UACGUAGGGUGCAAGCGUUACUCGGAAUUACUGGGCGUAAAGCGUGCGCAGGCGGUUUUGUAAGUCAGAUGUGAAAUCCCCGGGCUUAACCUGGGAACUGCGUUUGAAACUACAAGGCUAGAGUGUGGCAGAGGGGGGUGGAAUUCCACGUGUAGCAGUGAAAUGCGUAGAGAUGUGGAGGAACACCGAUGGCGAAGGCAGCCCCCUGGGUUAACACUGACGCUCAGGCACGAAAGCGUGGGGAGCAAAAGGG
rnacentral:rRNA from 1 species